rnacentral:rRNA from 1 species
UACGAAGGGUGCAAGCGUUACUCGGAAUUACUGGGCGUAAAGCGUGCGUAGGUGGUUUGUUAAGUCUGCUGUGAAAGCCCCGGGCUCAACCUGGGAAUGGCAGUGGAUACUGGCAAGCUAGAGUGCGGUAGAGGGUAGUGGAAUUCCCGGUGUAGCGGUGAAAUGCGUAGAGAUCGGGAAGAACACCGGUGGCGAAGGCGGCGACCUGGUCCUUUUACUGACGCUGAGGCGCGAAAGCGUGGGGAGCAAACAGG